ensembl:lncRNA
CGUCUACUGCCCUUCCUGGUCCCCAUGGGGCCCCACUCUCCAGGCUUGCGCCCAUCACCGCCAACACCCAGAGCCACAACUGGUCCUGGAGAACACUCUCCGGCUUCCCGCUGUGUACCAGCGCCUCCACAGCCCUCACGUGCAACUUGCUCUGCCCAGCCCUCACGUGCAACUUGCUCUGCCCAUCUUUCCCCCUUGGGGACCGAGAGCACUUCUCUGCCCAGAGAUGCCACCAGCCAUGGAGGCCAGGGAAGGACACCACAUGAGGCAAGAAUACUGGAAUGGGUUGCCAUUUCCUCCUCCAAGGGAUCUUCCCAACCCAGAAAUAGAACCUGUGUCCCCUGUCUCCUGCUUGGCAUGUGGAUCAUUACCACUGAGCCACCUGGGAAGCCCUUAGUAUGAGGAGGAAGCCCAGGCCUCGUGGGGAGGCUUACUGAAGCUCGGCCAGCAUACCCAGGUUCAACUGCAGACCUGACAGUGACGUCACCUCCAGAGGAGUCCAGCUCCUAGUGUCAGUAUCAACCCCAACUGAUCUAACUGAGGACCUGUCAGUCAAUCCACGUUUGACAGGACAGAAGAGACUCCGUAUAUCUCCAAGGUGGCCCUUCCAGAAUGUGAAAGCGACCCUCCCAAUGUCAACUUCCUUCCGGCUCUUGGAAUCACCCUUCUACUCUCAGCUUCUCCUCAGUUUUCCUCUGGAUACCACAGGUUUACAACUGAGAUCAGUGUCUUACUGGAGGGCUCCAACUGCACAGAGCACAGACGACUGCCAUCUGCUAUCCACAGUGGGGUGUCUCUUCAGAACCUUUGGAAAAAGGUCGAGGUGAUGCUGUGAGAGCCAGAAGGGCCUCAACUGGAGCAGGAGAAGUGGGUGGGUCG